rnacentral:rRNA from 1 species
AUGAGUACUUCUCCUACCUCAGUGAGAAGACACAACAGGAGGCAGCGAGCAGGGCCAAGGUGGAUGUUUGUGGAGCGGGAUGGCCUCACGUCCCAGAACGCCACCAAGGUGGACGCCAAGAACAAGGUGCUCUCUGUGCGGCAGCAGGGUGAGGCGCUCAAGGAGAAGGCCAAGUGGAAGGCUCGGACUGGCAGGCCAAGGUCGCCGAGGUUGAGGCCUCCAAGGCUAUCGCCAUCCGCGAUGCCGAGCUGCAGAUGGAGGAUCAAGAAUCGAACACGCUCUUCUACAACUGGCAGAAGGCGGCGGAUACGACAUUGUAUAAGGAGAUGA